ensembl:lncRNA
AGGAGCUGAGAGAUUUGGAGCCUGCUGUAACACCGUACAGGCAGCACCGCAGUCAGGGGCUUGCAAACUCAUCUCAUGAGAUAAACCCUACCCAUUAAAUUAAAAUACGCAUUUGUGAAGAUCCUUGUCACAGCAAACAAAAGAUCACUAGAGGCUGACAUUCUCAGUUUAAACUGAACUUUAUAAACUUGUUUACAUCAGAGCAACCAUUGCAACUUCUUUUUAUUUCGAAAUAUGUUCCUGAAACACAUUGGAAAGUGCAGCAGUGACAGCAGAGCAGGAAGGCCCUAGGAUGCAGCAAGUGAGGAUUGCAGCAAGUGAGGAUUUGCUCAAAUGCAACAGCUGUGGGCACAGACAUAAAGGAAAGAAGCUUCUUCUCUUCAGAAGGCCUCAGAUUUGGAAACAUUUGUUGUCUCAGGAGGAAAAAAAAAAAAGCCACGCCGACAACAGGCUCGCUCCUGUUGCGUUUGUGUUGAGGAGAUGUCCCAGUGCACAGCUGUCAUAGAAACACGGAGCAGUGCAAUGCUCCAGCAGCCACCAAACACACAAACCAAUUCCCCACAGCAAAGCCCAGUGGAACAAACAAACCCUCGAGGAAUUGCACUGGGAGGAAGAUCCAAACCCGUCCGUUGUGCUCAGCUCUGCCCAUGUCAUGUCCCACUGGAUGGAACUGCAGCAUGGUUCCAGAGCUUUGUUCCUCCCAGCAAUGGGGAAGCGCCAGGAGAAAGUGCUUUGCCCACUGUUUCGAUGCUUCCAUCCUCAGUUCUGCUCCAGACUCUCAGAAGGGAGGAUGAGUAAAAUCUCUGUGGGAACACAGUCGGGGCUGGAUCAGCCAGUUGGAUGCUUCAUGGAAAUUUGGAGCUGAGCAUACUUCCUUAAGAUCUUGUUUUCUGGCUGAGUUUCCUUCAGGAUUUGUGUAUUUCUUUUUAAUUAUUUUUGGCCAUUUUGGGGGAAGAUUCUUUGCAAUCCCAACCCGCUGCUCUGUGGAGACGUUCAUGCUCCACGUUGCUCAGCACCACAGCUCCUGCCCAGAGAC